rnacentral:rRNA from 1 species
AUAUGUUAAGUGGAAAAGGAUGUGGCGUUGCCCAGACAACUAGGAUGUUGGCUUAGAAGCAGCCAUCAUUUAAAGAGUGCGUAAUAGCUCACUAGUCGAGUGACACUGCGCCGAAAAUGUACCGGGGCUAAACAUAUUACCGAAGCUGUGGAUUGUCCUUUGGACAAUGGUAGGAGAGCGUUCUAAGGGCGUUGAAGCAUGAUCGUAAGGACAUGUGGAGCGCUUAGAAGUGAGAAUGCCGGUGUGAGUAGCGAAAGACGGGUGAGAAUCCCGUCCACCGAUUGACUAAGGUUUCCAGAGGAAGGCUCGUCCGCUCUGGGUUAGUCGGGUCCUAAGCUGAGGCCGACAGGCGUAGGCGAUGGAUAACAGGUUGAUAUUCCUGUACCACCUAUAAUCGUUUUAAUCGAUGGGGGGACGCAGUAGGAUAGGCGAAGCGUGCGAUUGG